rnacentral:lncRNA from 1 species
UCCACAUGUACAGUCCACACACAAUCCACAUGUACAUCUUCGAAACUCUAUCCACAUGUACACAAGAUUACAUAUAUCUACGUGUACACCAAGUAAACCUUGAAAUCUAGAGCAAGAAGCAUCAGGUAUGUUUUAAAUAUAAAAUCAUGUGCUCGUAUUGAAUCAAAUUUUGAUAUCAUUCUCCAACCACUGCUUAACAUCUCAACACAAGCAACAUAUCCCGUUGUUAUCGGAUUCUUAAGAAACGACCUCAUUUUGUUUCUUGGAACCUUUGUUCUUGAGUUAUCUUUUGAUCUUCUUACAGACACAUUUCACCUCCGUAAAGCAAUUAAAUGUUCAAAUACCAAAAAAAAUAUAAAAACUAGUUAAUCAAGAACCUUCGAUCUUAUUUGCCUCCAAAAGUGGUUUACAUCUCACCUCUGUUAAUAUGUUGCUCCACUUAAAUUACAGAAAUUUUGGGAACAACAUUCAAAGGGACAAAAAGUUCACCUCUUUCUUCAUAUCACUCUUCCUCUUGACACAACAGAAGAUAAAAUCCUCGAUUUAGUGCUCCGUCUUCCGCCAAAGUGGAGAUUUACGGCGAGGUUAUGGUAUUUUUGACAGCCACUGGUGAGUCUUCACCAUCGAAAAUGAUUUUCCCCAAUUUUUGAUAGAUUAGAGUUUCAUCUGAAUUCAAAGGAUUCAUUACUACAUCGAAACGAACCACUUAAGAUUGUGGUAAAUACGAGGUUGGGAAGUAUUGAUUUUCAGACAAUGGAGGCACACUGGGAGGAGUUUCCUCCGAUUAAAAAUAUUUUGAUGGGUAAAGGGUUAGCUAUUCUUUGUCGGGAGAGAAAUUAGAGAAAUGAAGUUGUAACAAAAAAAAGAAGAAGUUGAUACUAAGAGUAGUCUGGUUAUUCCACUCUGAAAAACUAUCCUAAUAGUUGAAAAUGUUUUCAAGUGUAAUAUAAACUCAUAAAGUGACCUUCAGUGUUAUAAUCUCAUCACUAAAUUAUAUGAGUAGACUGUCGGUGAUUGGUUGGUGCUUGGUAGUAGUAUAUGUGGGGGAGGGGACUGAAUUUACAGUGGCAUCUUUUACGUUUGUCUUGGAAGAAAGAAAGGGACAGAGAAUCUAACAUUCGGAUUUGACGACAAUAUUUAUUAAUGGAAGAGCCAAAAUUGUAUUCUUUUUAAAGAGAAAGAAAAAGAAGAAAAGUAUUGGGAC